rnacentral:tRNA from 1 species
GGUUGAUUAGUUAAAAAAUAACGUAAGUUUGUCAGGCUUAAGUUAUCCUGUGAGGAUAUCAUCCG